UCUCCCUCCCUUUGGGAUCAAAUAAUAUGAACAGGAAUUCGAAUGUCUCGUACUCUUCUUUUCAUGAAGUUGAGAGCUAGAUUCUCCACUGCCAUCGUCUCUUCUCGUAAAAGUCUGGGUUUUUUCCUUUCAGAAAAAUAGUACAACUCUUGGCGUUCCUAAUCUUCUUGAUCACAAAAAGAACUCCAGUCGUGUAAACACCUGUAAUGUCAUUGAUCAAAACCAUUCGUAGACGAUGAGAAGAAAGGAAGAGCUAAAGAGUGGAAGGAGGAACAGACCAGAGGAGGGUACGCUGUUGCCUGGAACAACUUGUAAGUUGCUUCAGGUUCUUUGAGGAAAGGCCAUAUUGCCUCUUUCUUAAGGGCAUGGAUGGAUGUGAGACCCAUGAUGGAAGUUGUUAAAGGGGCAGCUUUUGGUAUUCUCCAAGUAAGAGUAUAUCCACAUUUUUGUUAGUUUGGGAGCUUCCUCUUCAUUUCUAUUUGGGAGUAACUAGAUAUUAGAGAUGUUUUCUAUUUGACAUUGGCAAUCAGUUAUCAAAUGAACGGACUCUCACGAAGAAUAAGAACUAGUUUUCUCAGGAAUUAUUUUGCAGGUGCUUUUUUCCAGCAAUCUCCUUCUUGCUUAUUGCUGAGAAUUAUACCAAAACCUAUGAGAUUCUAAGGCAAAUGUAUGGUCAAGAGAAUGUUAACUUCGUAUGUUUUAUGUAUGUUUGUCGGGCAGAUAUAUACGAUACGAGUUAUCCGAUCAGAUAGGGUUUCUCCUUUGUGCAUUUCCAUUGGCUUCCAUUGAUUACCUCAAGGUUUGAGACGUUUACUCUUAUAUUCUUAUUUAUAGAAAAUCUUUUUGUAAGUGACUGAUAGGGAGAUACCUAAGCAUCACUUUUUCUGAAUUUGAUUUUACUUCACAAAAAAGAGCUCUUUCAAAGCAUGCAACUUGAAAUCUCUGGAGGGCAUUAUUUGCAUGCCUAUGCUGAUGGUGAUUGUAGGAAUCAAUGUUGUAGGACACUAUCCAUGUGUGGGAUCCUUUAAUAAUAUACAGAUAUAGAAAGGGGUUGUGGGACCAGGGCUUGUUGAGACUUUGGUUUUACUAUGGAGGUGGCAUGCUUCUCUUUCUCACCAAAGCCAAAAGGAAGUUUUGCUUGUGAAAUGAAAACAGACUUGCUGAAACUGAAUCUUCCCAAGCUUUCAAUCAAAUAUUGGAUAUGUUUCUGCAAUUACAGUUCAAAUUUCAUUUCAAACUUCAUAUACGUGUUUUCACAUCAUUUGCAAUACAUCAUCAAGAAAGUCCUAUAGAUAUCUUCUUUACUUUGAGACAUGUAAGUUCACUGUUAAGCGUUACCGAAGACAUGUUUUAGCUUCAGAAGUAAUUGUUCUGUUGUGUAAGGGUAGGUGGCAACACUUAACAAGGAAGAAAAUGGCAGCUCCUCCAAAGCUUCUUUCCAAAGUCACUUCAGCAAGCAUCAUGGAUGUUUUUUGGCUCAGUCUGUGCAUGUUAACCAAGAAGUUGUAGGACACAAGUUGCAGAGAAAAAAAACAUGA